GCUCGCAUAGCUCAGUCGGUAGAGUACUUCAUUGGUAAUGAAGAGGUCACCAGUUCGAAUCUGGUUGUGAGCACCA
rnacentral:tRNA from 2 species